AACGCACCUUGCGCCCAUUGGUAUUCCGAUGGGCAUGCCUGUUUGAGUGUCUUGAAAUCAUCAAGCCCGUUCGGUUUCACCGCCGAGCGGGAUUGGACUUGGGGGCUUGCCGCUUCGCCGCGGCUCCCCUUAAAUGCAUCGGUUUCGGGUCUCUGUGGGAGUAACCCCUUGGGCGUUGUAUAACCCUCGCCGUCUGGGAACUCCUCGCGACGUCCGCGUCGUCGAAGGGCCUUGAAGGAACCUCGACCUGCUGUAGAGCGGCGGUCAACGUUAAUUUGAAAUCUGACCUCAAAUCAGGUAGGACUACCCGCUGAACUUAA
rnacentral:misc_RNA from 1 species